rnacentral:rRNA from 1 species
UGAGCAAUCUGCCCUUCUCAUCGGAAUAAGCGUUGGAAACGACGUCUAAUGCCGAAUACGACCUCCUUUCGCAUGAUCGGAGGUGGAAAGCUCCGGCGGAGAAGGAUGAGCUCGCGGCCUAUCAACUAGUUGGUGUGGGUAACGCCACAAGGCGACGACGGGUAGCCGGCCUGAGAGGGUGACCGGCCACACGUGGGACUGAGACACGGCCCAGACCUCCGUAACGGGGAGCAGCAAGG